AACUCUUUUCUUCUUCACUCACGCUCUCAUUCUCUCUCAUUCGUCUCUCUCACUGCUACCCAACACCAAACAGAAAACUCUGCUGUUUCUCCCACUGAUUUCUCCACCUCAAUCAGGACUACUAGUACAGCUGCUAUCCUUAUCCUUUUCUUUGUCCGAACAUCAAUUCAAGUUGUUCCUUCUGAAAUUGGGGCGCGACAUUUCAAGGAAAGGUAUUUAUGGAAGAUAAUUUUGCCUGGCAUUUCUUUUUACGGUGAAGAGAUAUGUUUUGAGUACGUUAUGAUUCUGAGAAGUAUGCUGAUGCUACGGGAGAAGUAUGAGCUAAAAUUGAUUUUCCUAUUUGAAUUGUGCUCGUCUUGUGUAGUCGAUGUAUGUGCUCAUACAGGAUGCUACAUAUUCAGAACUAGUAUGAUUUUUAGAAACAAGGAGAAAGCUUGUCCACAUAAAAAUGGAGUAAAUGAUUAGGAAGCAGUUUGUGAUCAAUCAUGCAUGUAACAUUGAGUACGACAGGCAAAUUCACUACGUAUGACGCGAAACACGCAUGAUGCAAUCACCAUGCAUAGAUGCUUGCAAAGCCUUCGGAAGUAGCGGCUUCUUCCUGAAAGGCUUCCAAAAACAGCAGCAGUUACUCGCGAAUAAUCUCGACGGUCGAUCUGUUUCAUCUUCUCCAACGCAUAGGUACGGUUAUCCCUGUAUUUCGUGCAAAUUUGAAGACAAAAGUUACCGCCUUGUUAACGUCCGGGGAAGGCCGAGGGAGGAUUUUGAGGUUAGUUGUUGGAGAGGGAAAGUGGGGGCCAAGGGGAAGGAUAAUGUGUGGAGUAUUGACAACGAGAUGUCGAAGGCAGAGAAGGAAAAGGGCCGAACGCGGAGGAGGAAAAGGGGAGGUAAGAGAGUGAGGAAUGUAUAUCAGAAAGGUGAUAGAGUUCUUGUCUCCAGUUCGAUGUUGAUGGAAGUCGAAACCAUUUUACAGAUGCAGGAACCGGUGAUUAGGCCUGCAUGGCACACAUUUGUAAGUAGUGUCAGUGGAAUAUGGAAGGGAGUUGGAGCCGUAUAUUCUCCCAUUACUGCUGAAAUGGAGCCUAUAGAGAUUGGGAGCAAGAAUGAGAACCUAUUUGACUGCUAUACUUUGUCUCAUAUCAAGGCACUGCCAUCUACUUCUGGAGCUCUGAAUUCUCAAAUACAAAGGAAAAUAAAUUGGGUUACUUUGAAUCCUUAUGGUGAAUCACAGAAUAAUAAAGGUCCUAAUUUGCCAAAAAUUGAAUCAUUUGACUUCGGAAGAAGUGAUGUGAUGGAAGAAGAUGUUAUGGGGAUGGAAGCUGGUCUUAUUUAUUUUGAGGAUGGGUCUUACUCCAGAGGUCCGGUGGAUAUUCCGGUUGGUGAAUAUAAUGAAUCCAAUUAUUACCUUUCCCCAACUUUCAAGUUCGAACAAUGUUUGGUUAAGGGCUGCCAUAAAAGGUUGCGUGUGGUGCAUACCAUUGAAUUCAGCAAUGGGGGUUCAGAUAUCCAAAUAAUGAGGAUUGCUGUUUAUGAAGAAGAAUGGGUUAGUCCAGCCGCUAUCCCGGAUACAAGUGAGUUGGAGUUGGAUUUGAAGCCAUUCUCUCAGAGGAAGAGAGUCCAACCAUCAGAGCUGAGUGGGUCUUGGAAGGUGUUUGAGGUGAGCGCAACGCCUAUAUACGGCGAGGAUAUGACCCUGGAGGAAGGGACGAGCGCGCCUUACGUGUAUCUAUGCACUGAAGCCUUGAAGAAGAGAAGCUUGCCGGAGAAUCUGGUUUACUUUGGGGAGGAGGAGAUGGUGGAUAUGCAAGAUAUGACCGUUCUCUGGCUACCGGGAGGGGCGACUGCGUACGUCGACGUGAAGAAGGAAGGCAUCUUGUGUGUAGGUGUUGGGUGGUACUCGGAUGAGGGAAUGAAUCUGGUGAUGGAAAGGGACUAUGGAUUAGAUGGGAAACUGAAGGAGGUUAGAUCCAAAUCCGAGAUGAAGAGAAGAUGGACUAAUCCUCCACCUAUGUGAAUGUGAUCCCUCCCAUCUAUUUAGGGGAACCAUAAAUCAGUGUAAAAAGAGCAAAAUUUGUAGUAUCUCAAAAUAUUGUAAUUUGCACUAUUACACGAUUUUUAUCAUCUUAAAAUAUGGGCCGUUUGAUUUGCAGUUUAGGAUUGAUUAGGAUUAAAAUUAUCUUAAGAAAUUAGUGUGGAUUAGUGUGGAUUUAUAUUAUUUCAUGGGUGUUUGAUAUCA